rnacentral:rRNA from 1 species
GACAGAGGCCCCGAGCGUUAGUCGGAAUUACUGGGCUUAAAGGGUGCGUAGGCGGGCGUGUAAGUGUCUUGUGAAAGCCCUGGGCUCAACCCAGGAACCGCAGGGCAUACUGCACGUCUCGAAGAAGCUAGAGGCCGGUGGAACGAUCGGUGGAGCGGUGGAAUGCGUAGAGAUCGAUCGGAACGCCAAGGGUGAAGACAACCGGCUGGGGCUUUCUUGACGCUGAGGCACGAAAGCGUGGGGAUCAAACAGG